AAGGAUCAUUAGUGAAUUAAACAUGCUUGGUGUCUUCGCUUCGGCAAGGCCCUUGCUUAACUCACAUCCCAACACCUGUGAACUGUAAGGCGCAUGACUAGGUUCGCCCAAGUCAUCGUCUGCCCUUUUUAACAAACAAUUAAUGUAACAAACGUAGUCUUAUUAUAACCUAAUAAAACUUUCAACAACGGAUCUCUUGGCUCUCGCAUCGAUGAAGAACGCAGCGAAAUGCGAUAAGUAAUGUGAAUUGCAGAAUUCAGUGAAUCAUCGAAUCUUUGAACGCACCUUGCGCUCUUUGGUAUUCCGAAGAGCAUGCCUGUUUGAGUGUCAUGAAAAUAUCAACCUUGACUUGGGUUUUGUGCUCUAGUCUCGGCUUGGAAUUGGGUGCUUGCCGCUUUUACGAGCGGCUCACCUUAAAUGUAUUAGCUGGAUCUGUCUUUGAGACUUGGUUUGACUUGGCGUAAUAAGUAUUUCGCUAAGGACAUUCUUCGGAGUGGCCUCGUUUCUAGGACGCUUGUCCGCUUUCCAAUACAAGUUCCACCUCGUGGACAUGACUUUUUAUUAUCUGGCCUCAAAUCAGGUAGGACUACCCGCUGAACUUAAGCAUAUCAAUAAGCGGAGGAAAAGAAACUAACAAGGAUUCCCCUAGUAACGGCGAGUGAAGCGGGAAAAGCUCAAAUUUGAAAUCUGGCAGCCUCAGGUGUCCGAGUUGUAAUCUAUAGAAACGUUUUCCGCGCUGGCCCAUGUACAAGUCCCUUGGAAUAGGGCGUCAUAGAGGGUGAGAAUCCCGUCCUUGACACGGACCACCAGUGCUUUGUGAUACGUUUUCAACGAGUCGAGUUGUUUGGGAAUGCAGCUCAAAGUGGGUGGUAAAUUCCAUCUAAAGCUAAAUAUUGGCGAGAGACCGAUAGCGAACAAGUACCGUGAGGGAAAGAUGAAAAGCACUUUGGAAAGAGAGUUAAACAGUAUGUGAAAUUGUUGAAAGGGAAACGAUUGAAGUCAGUCGUGUCUAUUGGACUCAGCCGGUUCUGCCGGUGUACUUCCUUUAGAUGGGGUCAACAUCAGUUUUGAUCGCUGGAAAAGGGCGGGAGGAAUGUAGCACUCUCGGGUGAACUUAUAGCCUUCCGUCGUAUACAGUGGUUGGGACUGAGGAACGCAGCAUGCCUUUAUGGCCGGGGUUCGCCCACGUACAUGCUUAGGAUGUUGACAUAAUGGCUUUAAACGACC
rnacentral:rRNA from 1 species